UGAGGGUGGUAUUUUUUUUGUGUUGAUCUUUUUAUAAAUUAUCAAAUGUAAAUUGAACAAUGUUACAUUUAACUUAACCUCAAUGAGUUAAUUUAAACUUAUUCAGUAAUAUUUGUUAUUAAUUGUCAUUACCAUGUGAUUACCAUGGACGAAUUAAAACCUAGGUCAUUUGAGGUAAUAAUAGAACAGGCCCACCUUUUAGGAAUUGAGGGUGAGGAAUUACGAUUUUUUUAAACCAACAAAAACUAGAUUUAUUGAGAUUAACUCUAGAAAUGGAAAUAAAGGUAAUAGAAGCAGAGGAAAGGAAACAAAUAAAGGAGGUGGAGGACAAAAGAUUGAAAAUGGAACUGGCAGUAAAAAUGUCAUUACAGGGAAAUGUGCCCUAUAAAAUAGAAAUUGAAAAUGACCUAUUAACUAAUGAGGAACAAAAUAACUGUCUGGAUAUUGUUAAUAAUAUCAGUGGGAUAGAAUAUAGUGAAGAAAUUGAAAAUGUCUUAACAAGUAAGGAACUAAAUGAUUGUAAUUAUACUGUUUAUGAUAUCAGUGAGAUAGAAAUUAGAGAAGUAAUUGAAAAUGUCUUAACUACUAAAGAACUUAUUAAUUGUUAGUUUAUUGACAAUACUAUUAUUCAAGUUCUGAGACCAUUUUACAGAGUACACAAACCAUUAAAGAGAUUAAACCUAAAAAAAAGGAGUUUAUCAAGUUGUUGGUUGGGGAAAAGUUAAACCAGACCCCAAUAGGCUACAAAUGUUUUUGUACCUAAAACUUCUAAGAAAAAGAAAAAAGAAAUCUUGACGUAGUGUUUCCCCUCUCCCUAUUGCUGAGAAGGGGGAUGUCCAUGAGGGUCACCUGAAUUUUCGAGUGCGACUUGGCAAUAGAGAAAAUUCAGCAUUGUCUGUCUUCGUGUAUUUUAUUUUUUUUGUACUAAAUCUUAAUAUUUAUUGUAUUAUCUAAACAGAACACCCAAAAAUAGCUUGCUGUGUGUUGCACCAAGUGGAUAGCUUCCUUCCGGUAAAGUGCAGAGAGCUGAUACAUAGAGAGUGGCAUUACGUCAUCAGUAGGAUAUAAACUGGCUAUGACCAGGAUUCUUCUUACAGCCAAAAACAUAUUUGUGUAGAUCAGCUUCUCCACCUUCUCACUCCUGAAUUUCAUGAUCACCUGGAAAACAGUACAGACACCAAGAAAUAAACUAAAUAGUUACCAGUUAGUUGAACUUCAACAUCAUCUGACUCGACUUAGCACUGGUCACUGGUGAAAUAAUGAGGAUCUGAAAUGAUAAAAGAUAUAUAAGUAUUUUUACAUUUUCUUUUUUUAUUAAUAUAAAAAAGACUUUUACAAAAAAAGUUCUCUAUCUAAACAUUUACUAACCAAAAAUUUACAUGUAUCUUGAUUCUCAUCUCCAGGACUGGAAAUAUAUGAUAGGUCAGUCUGAUUCUUUAGACAAACUGAAAUAGUUUAAAUACAUGUGUCACUGUCAGUUUAUUUUGUUUUAACAACAUUUUUUUUUCUGAAAGAAAAAAAAAAUUCAAUAUACUUAUUUUUUUUAAAGAGAAGAAACUAAAUACUUAAGAUAUAGUCGAAACCUUUUAGAAGCACAACAUAGAUCUAACUUUGGAACGACUUGAAUUUGACAUUCUCACUAUUAUUGUGCUUAAAUCAUAUGUCAAAUUUGAUGGUAAAAUGGCACCUUAAAAAUAGUUUUUAACUUAGAUAUUGUUCACUCUGAUUUCAUACCAUUAAAUUCACAGGUGUCUUGAGGAAA